rnacentral:lncRNA from 1 species
AAAAGCCCACAAUGUUUCUUUGUCACCAUCUUGAAAUGUCCAAUUUGUCUUAGCUUUUACUAAAUUAUUUAGUUUUGACAAGAUUCAACCUACCAAGUUCAAUUAGAUGUAGAAAUCUUGUGGAUGAUAAAGAAAAUGGACGUUAAGCCGAAAUUAACCACAAAAGCUAACAUCGAUGAUUGAUAAUUGUCAAAAAUUAUACAAAGAGACAACAACUAGUGUUAGACUCUAACAACCCCUCACACGUUCAGCAUUGGACGUUUGGAGCGUGGACAACUUUGCAUCGAAGCGCAAUAUUAGGUAAACUAAGAAUAUGACUCUACUGAUAUCAUAUAAAAAAAAUGAACGUCGAAUCUAACUCACCCCAAAAGGAAGCUCAUAAGGUGCGGAGUCCGGACUAUUCCUUAGCCUUCAACCAAUGUGAGACUAGUGGAAAAAAUCUUUUGAAUGAAAUUGUUUUUCUUCUCAUGGUGAAUCGUACUUAUCCUAUGAGAAAACACUUUCAAUAGUUUUCGACAACAAAAUACCAAAAUAUUAAAUCGAGUAAAAGAGAGAGCUACGUUCAAAAUUUUAAUCAUAACUCAUGGAAUCUGUUUAAUCACUGCUAUAUUCAACAAAUAUUGAGGCAUAUUGCUAGGAAAUGGAUUUGAACCAUUAGAUGUACAUUUAUUUAACAUGUAUUAAACUUUAAAGAUUUGGGACAAAAUAUUCUUCAAAGCUUCUAUGAUUCGAAACAAAAUAUUUGCAAUUCGUAGAUUUUUUUUGCAAAAAAAACUUGUAUUUUUUUCAUCUGUGACGAAUACUUUAUCACUAUGAUUAGUUAUGACAAUUACAAAUUACAUUUUACACAAGACAAAGUGAAAAUGCAAUAUCUUUUGUCCAAUACUUUGAGAUGCUCCUCCCCAUCGAUCAAGGAGCGAAGAUGUUCGUGAUAAGCAACGCUUUAAGCCGCUAUCAUUAUGAGUCUUACGACGAAUUUGAUUGGCAGGUUCAAUAGCAACAAGAAGGGAAUCCAUUAGCUCAUUAUUUAGUACGAAUCGGUGAAUCGGCUAGAAUCAUAAAUGGGUUGUCUCAUUUCUGAUGAUCUAUGCUAUAGAUAGAAACAAAAAAUACUUGCAUAAUCAGAUAGCUUAAAAUGUAAUAAUUAGAGGUAACUUCAUUUAAUAAGCAUUGAAUCAUACGUAGUAUAAAUAGAAAUCACAAUGCUAUAACAGGUUCAAUCACACAGAUAAUAUAAAUUUUUCAUUUUUCGUACACUAUCAUGGAAUAUAACUUAAAUUCUUAUAAAAUACCUAAAGUGAGUUUCCAUGAAAUUCCAAAGGGAUAUUGAUUUAAGUCAUUUUCUUUCCUGAUUCGAGAGAUACUUUGCAGAGAGCCCAUUCUUCCAUUUGUUCUUUUGUUUAGUCCCUCACUUUUGUCCCUUUUAACUGCACUUCUUAUCUAAUUUGAGCUUUUAUGCUAGCAGCGGGCGAAGGUACAUAGCCCUAAGAGUGAUCAAUUGACCACCUUUCGUCAAAAAAUUAUACUAUAUAUAUAAGUAAAAUAUUAGAUUUUAAUGGUAUAUAACAUAUAUUGAACACCUUUUAUCGAAUUCUUUUUUGCUUAUUUCACGUUUGAACACCCUAAAUGAAAUUCCUGACUUCGUCAUUCGACUAGCACCAGUAUGUAUCUUUUCGAAUUGGAAUAGUAAAGAAAACAAAAAGUUAAACAGACAUAAAAUCAUGCAAUGAAAGUAGUAAGCCGAGUUUUGCUUACAACAACGACAAACCAAGUGAGUUCUCUCAAGUGGGGCCUGGGGAAGGUAAUGUUUAUGCAGACCUUAUCCCUAUCCUGAGAGAGCAUAGAGUUUUGCUUAUGGGGGAGGGGGGGAGGGGAGGGGAGUCGAUAGGUGAGAAAACUUAUUACGUUUCAAUGCUAAGUUAUACCCAUAGAGGCCAACUCAUAGAUUAACUAAAAAACAAAUAGGGCAGCCCGGUGCACUAAGCUCCCGCUAUGCGCGGGGUAUGGGAGAGGACCGAACCGCACGGUCUUAUGCUCCACAAUAUUACAUCGAUAUUAUGUCCUGCAGUAUUAUAUUACAAUGAUCUUACGCUUAGCAGUACCAAAUUACGACGAUGUCGCACCCUGUAGUAUUGUACGUUGAAUUUGUCGUAAGAUAAUUGACAUCAGUCCAAGAAAAAGAUUAUUUGGAGAUUAUAAGGAUUAUCCUAUUUCACAAGUGAUGAGUAAACUCGUGAAGGUGAAAGGGGAAACAAGUCAAAGAAAAUGAAUUUGGCAUUUUGGGAUAAAAUAUAGCUCGGACUAAAAUACCCGAUAUAUAUGGACUAGUGUCAUAGAAGGUACUACAUGACCAUGAUAGUAAGGUGUAUAAGGUGUGUGAAAGUGAGUAGCAUUUUAAGAAAGUGGGAAUAAUUCUCAAUUACGAGAGGUAAUUGGUUAAUUACCGGGUAACGGAAUAUUACCUAAUUAAUUGGGGAUAUAUUGGAUAAGAUUAAUCCCAAAACGUGGCAAAAAACCAUAAUAGUAAGAGAAUGACUCUUACUAGUUUUAUGAUUAGAUGGCAAAAAGCCACAAUAUAAGAGAAUGACUCUUACUGGUUUUAUAAUUAGGUGGCAAAAAGCCACAAUAUUUCACUUUAAUAUAUUCAAUACCACUACAAAGAGAUAACCAAUGGUCCAAAACGUGAAAGCUCGGAACGUGAAAUUCUCUUAAAUACUACAAUGUCCAAAACGUGAAAUUCUCUUAAAUACUACAAUAUCCAAACCUGAAAUGCUAAUUCAAAGAAAGCCCGGUACAAUCUUUCUCAAGAAUAUCAUAUGAAUUUUUUCUUACUUCGACCCGCCAUUACGUGUUUUCGCAAAAGAGAAUUGAUUCAGGUAUGUUAAGGUUAUCCCUUCUUUCUUUUGGCAUGACCCAUACGACACAAACGAAAUGUGCAAAUGCACAAUUUCCAUACAUGACUCUAUUCAUAGAAAUAUUAGAGAUGUUUAUGUUGUUGAUUCCCCAUGUGUCAUAUUAUUAUAUCAUAUGUUCAUGGGUCUCAGAAAAAUAUGUAAGUUGAAAAAGUUUACUUCAUGAUAUUAUUCAAAGGCAUAAUGGUCUUAUGACACUCCAAGGGAUUUAAUUGAUGUACUUUUCAUGCAUUGCAUUCAUAUACAUUGACCUAUGACCAGAUAGCGUUAUAUACGCGUAUAUAUGUAUAUAUCUAUAUGUAUAUGGGAUAUGGGAAAAGGUUACGGCGUUAUAUACAAAAUUUCAAAUUCAAGUUAUGAACUAUCUCAAUAGUUAUAUGAAUGCAUAAUUUAUCCACAAUAAAAUAAUAGCAACAUUCAAACGAUUUGACUAUUGCAUAAGACACAUGUAUUAUGGUUUGCACUCUUCAAAUAUAAUAUUAAAAUAUUUCGUAAAUAAAUUUUAGACACAAUAAACCACGGCUCUGAUACCACUGUAGUAUUGAAUAUAGGUGUUUGUAACAAGCAGCGGAAGACAAUAACAAUCCUAGGAAGAUCUUUUCGUGUUUAAAAUUUAUUUACAUGCCAAAGAUCGGAUUUAAGACGUACCUGGUAAAGAGUGUCUUGUUUCAAAAUUUCUUCGAUAGUGCGAAGAUUCUAUGUGUAUCCACACCGAGACCGAUCCUUGCUAUCAAUUCUUUGAUCAAUGAAACCCGCGAACAAAUUAAACGAAAUAUUUUGUUGAAAUUUUUCUCAAAAACUUCAACUAAAAUAGAAAGAACAAGAAACUAAGUUUUCUUGUCAAGAAUAUUUCUUGGUUUUUUGUGGCUUCUUAAAAAUUAUAUCACUUGUUCACUUUUUUC